AAGAGACAGCAGUAGCCACGGGAAUACGAAGGGGGCUAGCGUUGUUCGGAUUUACUGGGCGUAAAGCGCACGUAGGCGGAUGAUUAAGUCAGGGGUGAAAUCCCGAGGCUCAACCUCGGAACUGCCUUUGAUACUGGUCACCUUGAGUCCGGGAGAGGUGAGUGGAACUGCGAGUGUAGAGGUGAAAUUCGUAGAUAUUCGCAAGAACACCAAUGGCGAAGGCAGCCCCCUGGGCCAAUACUGACGCUCAUGCACGAAAGCGUGGGGAGCAAACAGGAUUAGAUACCCGCGUAGUCCCUGUCUCUUAUAC
rnacentral:rRNA from 1 species